rnacentral:sRNA from 1 species
AGUACAGGAGGGAGAGAGGAGGGGGUUGGGUGCCAGUGUGCGCCCCACUCACAGUGUCCUAAGCAAAGCUCCCCCCAUUCCUCCAACCAGCCUUCCUCCCUGUGACAGGCAGUGGCCAUCUGCCUCUUAGUCACAGUCAGGCCCCACCAUGGACAUGCCAGUUCCCUCCAGCUUCAAUGACAUCAGCCAGGACUGGCGUCUGCGGCAUUUUGUCGGCUGGGUGUGGUACGAACGGGAGGUGAUCCUGCCGGAGCGAUGGACCCAGGACCUGCGCACAAGAGUGGUGCUGAGGAUUGGCAGUGCCCAUUCCUAUGCCAUCGUGUGGGUGAAUGGGGUCGACACGCUAGAGCAUGAGGGGGGCUACCUCCCCUUCGAGGCCGACAUCAGCAACCUGGUCCAGGUGGGGCCCCUGCCCUCCCGGCUCCGAAUCACUAUCGCCAUCAACAACACACUCACCCCCACCACCCUGCCACCAGGGACCAUCCAAUACCUGACUGACACCUCCAAGUAUCCCAAGGGUUACUUUGUCCAGAACACAUAUUUUGACUUUUUCAACUACGCGGGACUGCAG